rnacentral:rRNA from 1 species
CCUACGGGCGGCUGCAGUGGGGAAUAUUGGACAAUGGGCGAAAGCCUGAUCCAGCCAUGCCGCGUGUGUGAAGAAGGCCUUCGGGUUGUAAAGCACUUUCAGUGGGGAAGAAAGCCUUGGGGCUAAUACCCUCGAGGAAGGACAUCACCCACAGAAGAAGCACCGGCUAACUCCGUGCCAGCAGCCGCGGUAAUACGGAGGGUGCGAGCGUUAAUCGGAAUUACUGGGCGUAAAGCGCGCGUAGGCGGUCUGAUAAGCCGGUUGUGAAAGCCCCGGGCUCAACCUGGGAACGGCAUCCGGAACUGUCAGGCUAGAGUGCAGGAGAGGAAGGUAGAAUUCCCGGUGUAGCGGUGAAAUGCGUAGAGAUCGGGAGGAAUACCAGUGGCGAAGGCGGCCUUCUGGACUGACACUGACGCUGAGGUGCGAAAGCGUGGGUAGCAAACAGGAUUAGAUACCCGUGUAGU